AGAGUUUGAUCCUGGCUCAGAUUGAACGCUGGCGGCAUGCCUUACACAUGCAAGUCGAACGGCAGCGGACCUUCGGGUGCCGGCGAGUGGCGAACGGGUGAGUAAUGUAUCGGAACGUACCUUUCAGUGGGGGAUAACGUAGCGAAAGUUACGCUAAUACCGCAUAUUCUGUGAGCAGGAAAGCAGGGGAUCGCAAGACCUUGCGCUGAUUGAGCGGCCGAUAUCAGAUUAGCUAGUUGGUGAGGUAAAGGCUCGCCAAGGCGACGAUCUGUAGCGGGUCUGAGAGGAUGAUCCGCCACACUGGAACUGAGACACGGUCCAGACUCCUACGGGAGGCAGCAGUGGGGAAUUUUGGACAAUGGGGGCAACCCUGAUCCAGCCAUGCCGCGUGAGUGAAGAAGGCCUUCGGGUUGUAAAGCUCUUUCGGCCGGGAAGAAAUCGCAUGGG
rnacentral:rRNA from 1 species